rnacentral:misc_RNA from 1 species
UUUCCGUAGGUGAACCUGCGGAAGGAUCAUUACCGGAUUUAGAACCUCCAAGCCCCUGUUGACACUCCUCGCGUGGCUUCUGCACGCUCGCUGCGCUUCCUUCCCGCACUGAGCACAAAUCGUAGACCGUUCAGCAAGCUUUUGUUGUUCUUCACAAUCUCCUAAUGUAAUAAACUGGUUAUGUAAAAUGGUAAAUAACAUACAACUUUCAGCAGCCGAUAUCUUGGAUCUCGCAUCGACGAAGAAGGCAGCAGAUCGAAUGCAGACACGAACGAACUC